rnacentral:rRNA from 1 species
AUUGAACGCUGGCGGCAGGCCUAACACGUGCGAGUCGAGCGGAUGAAGGGAGCUUGCUCCUGUAUUCAGCGGCGGACGGGUGAGUAAUGCCUAGGAAUCUGCCUGGUAGUGGGGGAUAACGUCCGGAAACGGGCGCUAAUACCGCAUACGUCCUGAGGGAGAAAGUGGGGGAUCUUCGGACCUCACGCUAUCAGAUGAGCCUAGGUCGGAUUAGCUAGUUGGUGGGGUAAAGGCCUACCAAGGCGACGAUCCGUAACUGGUCUGAGAGGAUGAUCAGUCACACUGGAACUGAGACACGGUCCAGACUCCUACGGGAGGCAGCAGUGGGGAAUAUUGGACAAUGGGCGAAAGCCUGAUCCAGCCAUGCCGCGUGUGUGAAGAAGGUCUUCGGAUUGUAAAGCACUUUAAGUUGGGAGGAAGGGCAGUAAGUUAAUACCUUGCUGUUUUGACGUUACCAACAGAAUAAGCACCGGCUAACUUCGUG